UACAGAGGUGGCAAGCGUUGUUCGGAAUUACUGGGCGUAAAGCGCGUGUAGGCGGCUCUUCAAGUCAGGCGUGAAAGCCCCGGGCUCAACCCGGGAACUGCGCUUGAUACUGUCGAGCUAGAGUGUGGAAGGGGCGAUUGGAAUUCCGUGUGUAGCGGUGAAAUGUGUAGAUAUACGGAGGAACACCAGAGGCGAAGGCGGAUCGCUGGGCCAACACUGACGCUGAGACGCGAAAGCUAGGGUAGCAAACGGG
rnacentral:rRNA from 1 species